GAGCCAUUCCAGAUGUAGUCUAGGUGAGGUAAUGUUGGUAACAGUAGUGGACUAAACAGAGCCAUUCCAGAUGUAGUCUAGGUGAGGUAAUGUUACUAACAGUAGUGGACUAAACAGAGUAGAGAGCCAGGAUGUAGUCUAGGUGAGGUAAUGUUACUAACAGUAGUGGACUAAACAGAGCCAGGAUGUAGUCUCGGGGAGGUAAUGUUGGUAACAGUAGUGGACUAAACAGAGCCAUUCCAGAUGUAGUCUAGGUGAGGUAAUGUUACUAACAGUAGUGGACUAAACAGAGUAGAGAGCCAGGAUGUAGUCUAGGUGAGGUAAUGUUGGUAACAGUAGUGGACUAAACAGAGUAGAGAGCCAGGAUCUAGUCUAGGUGAGGUAAUGUUACUAACAGUAGUGGACUAAACAGAGUAGAGAGCCAGGAUGUAGUCUAGGUGAGGGAAUGUUGGUAACAGUAGUGGACUAAACAGAGUAGAGAGCCAGGAUGUAGUCUAGGUGAGGGAAUGUUACUAACAGUAGUGGACUAAACAGAGUAGAGAGCCAGGAUGUAGUCUAGGUGAGGUAAUGUUGGUAACAGUAGUGGACUAAACAGAGCCAUUCCAGAUGUAGUCUAGGUGAGGUAAUGUUGGUAACAGUAGUGGACUAAACAGAGCCAUUCCAGAUGUAGUCUAGGUGAGGUAAUGUUACU